rnacentral:rRNA from 1 species
AGUCGAACGGUAACAGGAAGCAGCUUGCUGCUUUGCUGACGAGUGGCGGACGGGUGAGUAAUGUCUGGGAAACUGCCUGAUGGAGGGGGAUAACUACUGGAAACGGUAGCUAAUACCGCAUAACGUCGCAAGACCAAAGAGGGGGACCUUCGGGCCUCUUGCCAUCAGAUGUGCCCAGAUGGGAUUAGCUAGUAGGUGGGGUAACGGCUCACCUAGGCGACGAUCCCUAGCUGGUCUGAGAGGAUGACCAGCCACACUGGAACUGAGACACGGUCCAGACUCCUACGGGAGGCAGCAGUGGGGAAUAUUGCACAAUGGGCGCAAGCCUGAUGCAGCCAUGCCGCGUGUAUGAAGAAGGCCUUCGGGUUGUAAAGUACUUUCAGCGGGGAGGAAGGCGAUGCGGUUAAUAACCGCGUCGAUUGACGUUACCCGCAGAAGAAGCACCGGCUAACUCCGUGCCAGCAGCCGCGGUAAUACGGAGGGUGCAAGCGUUAAUCGGAAUUACUGGGCGUAAAGCGCACGCAGGCGGUCUGUCAAGUCGGAUGUGAAAUCCCCGGGCUCAACCUGGGAACUGCAUCCGAAACUGGCAGGCUUGAGUCUCGUAGAGGGGGGUAGAAUUCCAGGUGUAGCGGUGAAAUGCGUAGAGAUCUGGAGGAAUACCGGUGGCGAAGGCGGCCCCCUGGACGAAGACUGACGCUCAGGUGCGAAAGCGUGGGGAGCAAACAGGAUUAGAU